CCAUGGAAACUCCACUUUGAGGCAUCAGAAAUUUUUCUCAGGGGUAUCCAGGAAUAUGAAACAAGUAAAUAAUUGAAUGAUAAAAUAUACAAAAGAAACCAGGAGGAACUGCACUGACAGGUGCACAUCACCUGUAAAAAUGAAGAAUUACUGAAGAAGAGCAUGGUUUCAGGAUGUGAUGGAGCUUAUUUCCGAGCACAGUACUUGUAAAAAGGCUAUGACAGAAACAACUCUCUAGGUCUUUAUCGUGGGAUAAAGAAAUAACCAAGGAAACAGCCAAACAGUACACUUGAGAGAAACCCUCAGCCCUGUGUUUUUUUCUACCGUUC